AUCCUUCCUGGUUCAUAAAGCAUGAUGAUUGGGUGUUCACGCCAUUGCGAGAUGUGUGCCACCCAUAAGCCUUGUUAUGAUGUGGGUACAUUACCCGUCUGACG